GAGUUUGAUCUUGGCUCAGAUUGAACGCUGGCGGCAUGCCUUACACAUGCAAGUCGAACGGCAGCAUGAUCUAGCUUGCUAGAUUGAUGGCGAGUGGCGAACGGGUGAGUAAUACAUCGGAACGUGCCCUGUAGUGGGGGAUAACUAGUCGAAAGAUUAGCUAAUACCGCAUACGACCUGAGGGUGAAAGUGGGGGACCGCAAGGCCUCAUGCUAUAGGAGCGGCCGAUGUCUGAUUAGCUAGUUGGUGGGGUAAAGGCCCACCAAGGCGACGAUCAGUAGCUGGUCUGAGAGGACGAUCAGCCACACUGGGACUGAGACACGGCCCAGACUCCUACGGGAGGCAGCAGUGGGGAAUUUUGGACAAUGGGCGAAAGCCUGAUCCAGCAAUGCCGCGUGUGUGAAGAAGGCCUCGGUGUAAGU
rnacentral:rRNA from 1 species